GGGUUGUGAGGUUAAGCGACUAAGCGUACACGGUGGAUGCCUAGGCAGUCAGAGGCGAUGAAGGGCGUGCUAAUCUGCGAAAAGCGUCGGUAAGCUGAUAUGAAGCGUUAUAACCGACGAUACCCGAAUGGGGAAACCCAGUGCAAUACGUUGCACUAUCGUUAGAUGAAUACAUAGUCUAACGAGGCGAACCGGGGGAACUGAAACAUCUAAGUACCCCGAGGAAAAGAAAUCAACCGAGAUUCCCCCAGUAGCGGCGAGCGAACGGGAGGAGCCCAGAGUCUGAAUCAGUUUGUGUGUUAGUGGAAGCGUCUGGAAAGUCGCACGGUACAGGGUGAUAGUCCCGUACACCAAAAUGCACAGGCUGUGAACUCGAUGAGUAGGGCGGGACACGUGACAUCCUGUCUGAAUAUGGGGGGACCAUCCUCCAAGGCUAAAUACUCCUGACUGACCGAUAGUGAACCAGUACCGUGAGGGAAAGGCGAAAAGAACCCCGGCGAGGGAGUGAAAUAGAACCUGAAACCGUGUACGUACAAGCAGUGGGAGCACCUUCGUGGUGUGACUGCGUACCUUUUGUAUAAUGGGUCAGCGACUUAUAUUUUGUAGCAAGGUUAACCGAAUAGGGGAGCCGUAGGGAAACCGASUCUUAACUGGGCGUCUAGUUGCAAGGUAUAGACCCGAAACCCGGUGAUCUAGCCAUGGGCAGGUUGAAGGUUGGGUAACACUAACUGGAGGACCGAACCGACUAAUGUUGAAAAAUUAGCGGAUGACUUGUGGCUGGGGGUGAAAGGCCAAUCAAACCGGGAGAUAGCUGGUUCUCCCCGAAAGCUAUUUAGGUAGCGCCUCGUGAACUCAUCUUCGGGGGUAGAGCACUGUUUCGGCUAGGGGGCCAUCCCGGCUUACCAAACCGAUGCAAACUCCGAAUACCGAAGAAUGUUAUCACGGGAGACACACGGCGGGUGCUAACGUCCGUCGUGAAGAGGGAAACAACCCAGACCGCCAGCUAAGGUCCCAAAGUCAUGGUUAAGUGGGAAACGAUGUGGGAAGGCACAGACAGCCAGGAUGUUGGCUUAGAAGCAGCCAUCAUUUAAAGAAAGCGUAAUAGCUCACUGGUCGAGUCGGCCUGCGCGGAAGAUGUAACGGGGCUAAACCAUGCACCGAAGCUGCGGCAGCGACGUUUAGGCGUUGUUGGGUAGGGGAGCGUUCUGUAAGCCGUUGAAGGUGACCUGUGAGGGUUGCUGGAGGUAUCAGAAGUGCGAAUGCUGACAUAAGUAACGAUAAUGCGGGUGAAAAACCCGCACGCCGGAAGACCAAGGGUUCCUGUCCAACGUUAAUCGGGGCAGGGUGAGUCGACCCCUAAGGCGAGGCUGAAAAGCGUAGUCGAUGGGAAACAGGUUAAUAUUCCUGUACUUGGUGUUACUGCGAAGGGGGGACGGAGAAGGCUAGGCUGGCCGGGCGACGGUUGUCCCGGUUUAAGCGUGUAGGGGGAGUGACCAGGUAAAUCCGGUUGCUUAUCAACCCUGAGGCGUGAUGACGAUGCACCACGGUGCAGAAGCAGUUGAUGCCAUGCUUCCAGGAAAAGCCUCUAAGCAUCAGGUAACAUUAAAUCGUACCCCAAACCGACACAGGUGGUCAGGUAGAGAAUACUCAGGCGCUUGAGAGAACUCGGGUGAAGGAACUAGGCAAAAUGGUGCCGUAACUUCGGGAGAAGGCACGCUGGCGUUAGGUGAAAGGACUAGCUCCUGGAGCUGAAGCCAGUCGCAGAUACCAGCUGGCUGCAACUGUUUAAUAAAAACACAGCACUGUGCAAACACGAAAGUGGACGUAUACGGUGUGACGCCUGCCCGGUGCUGGAAGGUUAAUUGAUGGGGUCAGCCGCAAGGCGAAGCUCUUGAUCGAAGCCCCAGUAAACGGCGGCCGUAACUAUAACGGUCCUAAGGUAGCGAAAUUCCUUGUCGGGUAAGUUCCGACCUGCACGAAUGGCGUAAUGAUGGCCAGGCUGUCUCCACCCGAGACUCAGUGAAAUUGAACUCGCUGUGAAGAUGCAGUGUACCCGCGGCAAGACGGAAAGACCCCGUGAACCUUUACUAUAGCUUGACACUGAACAUUGAGCCUUGAUGUGUAGGAUAGGUGGGAGGCCUUGAAGUGUGGACGCCAGUCUGCAUGGAGCCAACCUUGAAAUACCACCCUUUAAUGUUUGAUGUUCUAACUCGGCCCCAUGAUCUGGGGUGAGGACAGUGUCUGGUGGGUAGUUUGACUGGGGCGGUCUCCUCCCAAAGAGUAACGGAGGAGCACGAAGGUUAGCUAAUCACGGUCGGACAUCGUGAGGUUAGUGCAAAGGCAUAAGCUAGCUUGACUGCGAGAGUGACGGCUCGAGCAGGUACGAAAGUAGGUCUUAGUGAUCCGGUGGUUCUGAAUGGAAGGGCCAUCGCUCAACGGAUAAAAGGUACUCCGGGGAUAACAGGCUGAUACCGCCCAAGAGUUCAUAUCGACGGCGGUGUUUGGCACCUCGAUGUCGGCUCAUCACAUCCUGGGGCUGAAGUAGGUCCCAAGGGUAUGGCUGUUCGCCAUUUAAAGUGGUACGCGAGCUGGGUUUAGAACGUCGUGAGACAGUUCGGUCCCUAUCUGCCGUGGGCGUUGGAAGAUUGAGAGGGGCUGCUCCUAGUACGAGAGGACCGGAGUGGACGAAUCACUGGUGUUCGGGUUGUCAUGCCAAUGGCAUUGCCCGGUAGCUAAAUUCGGAAGAGAUAACCGCUGAAAGCAUCUAAGCGGGAAACUUGCCUCGAGAUGAGUCUUCCCUGGGGCUUAAAGCCCCCUGAAGGAACGUUAAAGACUAUGACGUUGAUAGGCUGGGUGUGUAAGUGCAGCGAUGUAUUGAGCUAACCAGUACUAAUGAUCCGUGAGGCUUAACCUUACAACACCGAAGGUGUUU
rnacentral:rRNA from 1 species